GUUGUGCCACAGGAGACAAGAGACACGCGACCAUCUCCAUCAAUGGAACGGUGAUGAUCAACGUGUCUCUGCUCUCCAUCAGCUUGACAUAUUUUACCGCUAAAUUUUUCACAUCUAGCAUUGAAGGAAGGGUCAUGCUUAGAUUGAAAUUUUACUAAGUAAGCAAAAAAAUUAGGAAUGGUGUUAAGUAACCAGUCAGCAUGAAAAAUCAGUAUCAUACUUCUCUUUCAAACUGCAAACAUUUUAAAUGUUGACAAUUCUUGCUCUAUUUUUGAAUAUCCAUUCAAUCAGAAGCCGACGAGAACAUACAUACGGCCCAAGGAACUUAGUCAUUUACAGAGAUAGCUCAGAUAAUCGAACAAACAAACAGAGAACAGCUCAAGCUUAAACUUUUGUACAUGAUCUGCUAGAUUAACGAGAUUCCCACUGUACCUAACUACUAUCUAGCGAAACCAUAGCCAAGAGAACGGGCUUGGCAAAAAUAGCGGGGAAAGAAGACCAUUUGAGCUUGACUCUAGUUUGACAUUGUGAAGAGUCGUGAGAGAUGUACCCUCUGUUCUGAAAUCGUGGCCGAUUCUGAGCCGCGCGAGCGCGGUCAAUUUAACGAUGGAGCAGAGAUUGAUCAACUUAUUCUGCUUCCAUUUGAGCGAGAAGGUGACCUUUAGUAUAAUCGAUAUAGCGCUAAACAUAGAUAGCAAUGAAAGAAAACAGAAAGGCUCAACUUCUAGCCAAAUCUGAAGCAAAAUAAGGUGAUUAUCCUACGCUCCACCGUCAAUCUGACCGCGCGCGCGGCUCAGAAUCGGCCUCGAUUUCAGAACAGAAGGUAGCAUAGAUGCGAGACCUCGGUCGACAAUGAAAUACCAUCAUUUUCAUCGAUGCUUUACUUAGUCGGUGAGAAGAGGAUUGAGCACUGGCUCUUUUUUCUCUGUCUUAAGCAAAGCUACCUGGUGGCCUUGCGACUCUCCCCGAAGACAGUGUCAGGGGAGUCUGACUGGGGCGGUACAUCUAUCAAAUCAUAUAAGUCGUUAAUAUGCUAAAUGAUUAUCAUUUCAGUGCAAACCUGUGCUACAAACGGAAGACUAUGGAACCUAUAGACGAUGCGAAAAACGGCGGUAAAUGGUUUUUAACUAAGCUCACAGAAGCAGGUGCAAAAAUGCAGUUACGCAGCUACCGAAUUAAAAAGU
rfam:Oesophagostomum dentatum strain OD-Hann O_dentatum-1.0_Cont2130.2, whole genome shotgun sequence.